rnacentral:tRNA from 1 species
GCGGGCGUGGUGGAAUGGCAGACACGCCAGACUUAGGAUCUGGUGCCGCAAGGCGUGAGAGUUCGAGUCUCUCCGCCCGCA